AUGCAUGUCGAACGAAGAGCGAUGGAAGCUUGCUUCUAUCAAUCUUAGUGGCGAACGGGUGAGUAACGCGUAAUCAACCUGCCCUUCAGAGGGGGACAACAGUUGGAAACGACUGCUAAUACCGCAUACGAUCUAAUCUCGGCAUCGAGGAAAGAUGAAAGGUGGCCUCUAUUUAUAAGCUAUCACUGAAGGAGGGGAUUGCGUCUGAUUAGCUAGUUGGAGGGGUAACGGCCCACCAAGGCGAUGAUCAGUAGCCGGUCUGAGAGGAUGAACGGCCACAUUGGGACUGAGACACGGCCCAGAUUCCUACGGGAGGCAGCAGUGGGGUAUCUUCCGCAAUGGACGAAAGUCUGACGGAGCAACGCCGCGUGAGUGAUGACGGCCUUCGGGUUGUAAAGCUCUGUUAAUCGGGACGAAAGGCCUUCUUGCGAACAGUUAGAAGGAUUGACGGUACCGGAAUAGAAAGCCACGGCUAACUACGUGCCAGCAGCCGCGGUAAUACGUAGGUGGCAGGCGUUGUCCGGAAUUAUUGGGCGUAAAGCGCGCGCAGGCGGAUCAGUCAGUCUGUCUUAAAAGUUCGGGGCUUAACCCCGUGAUGGGAUGGAAACUGCUGAUCUAGAGUAUCGGAGAGGAAAGUGGAAUUCCUAGUGUAGCGGUGAAAUGCGUAGAUAUUAGGAAGAACACCAGUGGCGAAGGCGACUUUCUGGACGAAAACUGACGCUGAGGCGCGAAAGCCAGGGGAGCGAACGGGAUUAGAUACCCCGGUAGUCCUGGCCGUAAACGAUGGGUACUAGGUGUAGGAGGUAUCGACCCCUUCUGUGCCGGAGUUAACGCAAUAA
rnacentral:rRNA from 1 species